rnacentral:rRNA from 1 species
AGAGUUUGAUCCUGGCUCAGGACGAACGCUGGCGGCGUGCCUAAUACAUGCAAGUCGAGCGGACUUCUUAAAAGCUUGCUUUUGAGAAGUUAGCGGCGGACGGGUGAGUAACACGUGGGCAACCUGCCUUACAGACUGGGAUAACUUCGGGAAACCGAAGCUAAUACCGGAUGAUCAAAUGGACCGCAUGGUCCGAUUGUAAAAGUUGGGAUUUAUCCUAACACUGUGAGAUGGACCCGCGGCGCAUUAGCUAGUUGGUGGGGUAAUGGCCUACCAAGGCAACGAUGCGUAGCCGACCUGAGAGGGUGAUCGGCCACACUGGAACUGAGACACGGUCCAGACUCCUACGGGAGGCAGCAGUAGGGAAUCAUCCGCAAUGGGCGAAAGCCUGACGGUGCAACGCCGCGUGAACGAUGACGGUCUUCGGAUUGUAAGUUCUGUUGUUAGGGAAGAACAAGUACCGUUCGAUAGGGCGGUACCUUGACGGUACCUAACCAGAAAGCCCCGGCUAACUACGUGCCAGCAGCCGCGGUAAUACGUAGGGGCAAGGCGUUGUCCGGAAUUAUUGGGCGUAAAGCGCGCGCAGGCGGUCUCUUAAGUCUGAUGUGAAAG